GCCUGGCUAGCUCAAUUGGUAGCACAUGAGACUCUUAAUCUCAGGGUCGUGGGUUGGAGCCCCACGUUAGACA